rnacentral:rRNA from 1 species
CGAGGGGCUAUCAUGAUCUAGCAAUAGAUUGAUGGCGACCGGCGCACGGGUGAGUAACACGUAUCCAACCUUCCGUUAACUCGGGGAUAGCCUUUCGAAAGAAAGAUUAAUACCCGAUAGUAUAGCAUUUCCUCAUGGUUUUGCUAUUAAAGAAUUUCGGUUAUCGAUGGGGAUGCGUUCCAUUAGUUUGUUGGCGGGGUAACGGCCCACCAAGACUUCGAUGGAUAGGGGUUCUGAGAGGAAGGUCCCCCACAUUGGAACUGAGACACGGUCCAAACUCCUACGGGAGGCAGCAGUGAGGAAUAUUGGUCAAUGGACGAGAGUCUGAACCAGCCAAGUAGCGUGAAGGAUGAAUGCUCUAUGGGUUGUAAACUUCUUUUAUACGGGAAUAAAGUGAUCCACGUGUGGUUUUUUGUAUGUACCGUAUGAAUAAGGAUCGGCUAACUCCGUGCCAGCAGCCGCGGUAAUACGGAGGAUCCGAGCGUUAUCCGGAUUUAUUGGGUUUAAAGGGAGCGUAGGCGGAUUCUUAAGUCAGUUGUGAAAGUUUGCGGCUCAACCGUAAAAUUGCAGUUGAUACUGGGUGCCUUGAGUGCAGUAGAGCAGGCGGAAUUCGUGGGUA